GCUGAAGAUAGAUUUGGGAGUCACCAGUGACACUAUAUAAAGUCUUAGGAACCUAUGACAUCUGGAGAGUAUAGAGAGAACAGAAGCCAAGGGUAUACUUGGGCAGGUAGCUGUCUCAGGAGAGCAUGUGGGAUUAAAUCCUUAGGUUUGUGUAGGGCUGCUGGAGAGGGGUGGGGGGUAUGAAACACCUGGGUCAGAAACUUCUGGGCUCUUACCAUAUGCCAGAGGAAAUGUUUGGCCUUGUUAAAGUUGGUAUUUUAGAAAACGUUGAUGUCCAAAUGACUACACCAGUUUCUCCAUAAGUCCCCCCCCAAAAAGAGAUACAGACUAGCUAGCCCUGCCCCAAAUUCUACACACACAAACAUCCCUGUUACAGGUAGUAUUUCCCAGGGCGGAAACCCUGCAUCCAGCCACAGAGUAGGUUGUAUGUCUAUUAGAGAAGGGGUUGGUAGACUUUUACUGUAAUGGACUGUAUGGUAACUAUUUUAGGCUUUAUAAUCUCUGUUGCAGCUCUUCGAAUCUGCUGUCCUAUGUGAAAACAACCAUACACAAUAUGUAAAUGAACAAGCAUGACUGUGUUCCAAUAAAACUUUAUUUGCAAAAAUCAGGAGGCAAGCUGGAUUUGGCCAUAGUUUGCAGACACCUGCCUUAGGCUAUACAUUCUGCUGCAUGUGACAAGAGACCCAAGCUAAUGGCAGCUUAAACAAGAUAGAGGCUUCUCUCUUAUAUAACAGUAGGGAAUUGGGUGUUCUUGGGCUGAUACGAUGGCACUGCUGCAUGAAGUUGCUCUGCCAUCCCACCUGUUGCUCUCAUGGUCCAAAAUGGCUGGAUACCAUGUCCACAUUCCAGGCAGAAGGUGGAAGAAAGGCAUGUCCCUUUCUGAAGCUUGAGGACUCUACCCAGGAAUUUAGCCAGAACUUAGUCACAUGGCCACUGCUAGCUGCAAGAGAACCUGGGAAAUGUGGUCUUUGUAGCCAUCAUGUGCUUAGUUAAAAAUUGGGAGACAGCUAUCAGUCACUACCACAUCCAACCCACCUUGGGCUUUAAAAACAUCCCUCAAGCCAAAACCGUCUGUGAUUAUUGUAAAAAGGGCAUCAACCAUUGUGUCUAGGGCAGCCGUGGGCAAACUACGGCCCGCGGGCCGGAUCCGGCCUGUUUGAAAUGAAUAAAAC